rnacentral:lncRNA from 1 species
GUAGUUUUUUUAUUAUAUUUGGAGGGGUUUUUACAUGUUAAAUUUGUGUGCUUAAUUUUUCAAUUUCUUUCUCUAUUUUUUACUUGUUUGUUGCUUAAUCAGGUCAAUCCCCAACAAAGGUGUAAGCUUCUAUAUGAAUACUGAAUUGACCAAACUGUUUUUAGCCAUUUAUUGAAUGGUGGUCAGAAAAUCAUGUGUA